rnacentral:rRNA from 1 species
GAUGAACGCUGGCGGCGUGCCUAAUACAUGCAAGUCGAGCGAACAGACGAGGAGCUUGCUCCUCUGACGUUAGCGGCGGACGGGUGAGUAACACGUGGAUAACCUACCUAUAAGACUGGGAUAACUUCGGGAAACCGGAGCUAAUACCGGAUAAUAUAUUGAACCGCAUGGUUCAAUAGUGAAAGACGGUUUUGCUGUCACUUAUAGAUGGAUCCGCGCCGCAUUAGCUAGUUGGUAAGGUAACGGCUUACCAAGGCAACGAUGCGUAGCCGACCUGAGAGGGUGAUCGGCCACACUGGAACUGAGACACGGUCCAGACUCCUACGGGAGGCAGCAGUAGGGAAUCUUCCGCAAUGGGCGAAAGCUUGACGGAGCAACGCCGCGUGAGUGAUGAAGGUCUUCGGAUCGUAAAACUCUGUUAUUAGGGAAGAACAAAUGUGUAAGUAACUAUGCACGUCUUGACGGUACCUAUUCAGAAAGCCACGGCUAACUACGUG